rnacentral:rRNA from 1 species
AUUGAACGCUGGCGGCAGGCCUAACACAUGCAAGUCGAACGGUAACAGGAAACAGCUUGCUGUUUCGCUGACGAGUGGCGGACGGGUGAGUAAUGUCUGGGAAACUGCCUGAUGGAGGGGGAUAACUACUGGAAACGGUAGCUAAUACCGCAUAACGUCGCAAGGCCAAAGAGGGGGACCUUCGGGCCUCUUGCCAUAGGAUGUGCCAAGAUGGGAUUAGCUAGUAGGUGGGGUAACGGCUCACCUAGGCGACGAUCCCUAGCUGGUCUGAGAGGAUGACCAGCCACACUGGAACUGAGACACGGUCCAGACUCCUACGGGAGGCAGCAGUGGGGAAUAUUGCACAAUGGGCGCAAGCCUGAUGCAGCCAUGCCGCGUGUAUGAAGAAGGCCUUCGGGUUGUAAAGUACUUUCAGCGGGGAGGAAGGGAGUAAAGUUAAUACCUUUGCUCAUUGACGUUACCCGCAGAAGAAGCACCGGCUAACUCCGUGCCAGCCGCCGCAGUAA